rnacentral:tRNA from 1 species
GUGGCUGGAGAGAUGGCUCAGAGGUUAAGAGCACUGACUGCUCUUCCAGAGGUCCUGAGUUCAAAUCCCAGCAACCACA